AAUAGAUACCCAGGUAGUCCACGCCGUAAACGAUGAGUGCUAGGUGUUAGGGGGUUUCCGCCCCUUAGUGCUGCAGCUAACGCAUUAAGCACUCCGCCUGGGGAGUACGGUCGCAAGACUGAAACUCAAAGGAAUUGACGGGGGCCCGCACAAGCGGUGGAGCAUGUGGUUUAAUUCGAAGCAACGCGAAGAACCUUACCAGGUCUUGACAUCCCGCUGACCGCCAUGGAGACAUGGCCUUCCCUUCGGGGACAGCGGUGACAGGUGGUGCAUGGUUGUCGUCAGCUCGUGUCGUGAGAUGUUGGGUUAAGUCCCGCAACGAGCGCAACCCUUGUCCUUAGUUGCCAUCAUUCAGUUGGGCACUCUAAGGAGACUGCCGUACAAAUACGGAGGAAGGUGGGGAUGACGUCAAAUCAUCAUGCCCCUUAUGACCUGGGCUACACACGUGCUACAAUGGGUGGUACAAAGGGCAGCAAACCCGCGAGGGGAGCGAAUCCCAAAAAGCCACUCUCAGUUCGGAUUGCAGG
rnacentral:rRNA from 1 species